GAUAGGAGGGGGAAAUCUAUUUAAAAAAAAAAAAAAUCAGGAGCAUCUCUCUGAGAAACCCUUUUAAACAAAAUCAAAACAGGACCAGAGAACCUCAGACCGACCCUAACAUCCCUGCUGUGAGGCCCGCGGGCUGUGGAAUCACGCACGUCACCUGGCCCCAGCAGGGCGGCCAGCUGAGGGGUUCUUUUUAUUUUAUUUUCCUUUAUUUUUUGAAGUUAAGGCUGAAUCUGGGCUUCAGUGCUUUGCCAACGUCUCCACUGACAGGAACCAGCAAACUUCAGGACUCAAAUGAGCGUCUUAAUUUAUUGAUGCAAAACAGGUCUGCUUGUCGCCCCCAAUUCUCGGCGCGCUCGGUUCCCCACGCCCCCAGCUUCGAUCCCUCCAUUCGAUCUCAGGGUCAAAAAGUGGAACAUUGAGACAAUGGACAAAUAAUUAAGACAUGGUACUUAAGGUGUUGACAAGCAUCAGAGAAAACAGUGAAGGAGCUGAGCCUAGGUCACACAGGAAUUCUAGAGAUGGCCACCGGAAGUGGGGAAGGAGAUAAAGCCAAAUGCCCCACUAAUUCUGACCACCUUGCAAACGCUUGUGGUUUUUCACAGAAGAAUCAGAGAAGACUAUCAGGAUGAAUUCUGAGCAUCUUCACCUGGAUUUUCAUGGAUGUGAAGAUGUAAGUGGGGAGUGAUUAAGGU